CUGAAUCUUAGUCUUCAUCAAUUGCAGCUAGCUGAAAGGUUCUUCAUAAUGAUAUUAAUUUUGAGUACCAUGGUUUUCAUGUUGGUUCAGGGACGUGUGGUAUGUGAAAGAGAACUUUUCCCUGUUUCCAUGUUUAAAGUGGAUAUUGACGAGAACCAGGAGAGUGAUUUGCCGGAAAACGAAAACAUUGAACUCCUUCAAGGAGGACCAGAAGGU